CAGUGUCCCUGGCCUUGGAGCACUUCGGAGGGAGAGAGUGGGAAGGCACCCCAAGACCUGGCCACUGGCAACUUAUCAGCAGGAGCAGCGAGGCCCAUUUUGGUGGCGUGAGGAAGGAGGAGGCCAGGCCUCCUCAGGGAGUAGGGACUGUCCUUCAGAAUCAUGGCUGUGAGGAAAAGGAGAGAAAUAGGGUGGGGACUUGAGAAGUACACAGCCUUCCCCUUAUGCCGGGUGCUGUGAACCCAGACACAGGGCCGACAACGUGGCUCUAGCUGGGCAGCUCCAGACCCGCCAAACCCAGACUGAGGUUCUCAAAGGAGGGGUGCCUAGAUGCCCAAGGUUGAGAGUGCAGAUACAUUUAUAGGUGGGGGGCUAGGCCCAUGAGGAAGAAAGGGAGUGGGGUGACGACAGGCUUCAUCCUGCAGAGAACAAGGCCUGGAAAAGAUGGCGGCCCACAGACCCAGUGGUCGCUGAGCUCUGUUGAGGGCCCAGCUGGGAUUAAAGAACAGAGUCUUGUGCUAGACAUGGUUCCCUGGGAAUGUGCAGCAAGGAUCUUCUGGGAUGGCCCCAUAGGAUUGACAUGGGAAGCACUAUAAGCAGCAGCUCUCCGAGGAUUACCAUUAUUAUUAUUAUUAUUAUUUUAUUAUUUAUUUUAUAAGUCCGGUGAUGGCCCCUCUCUGCCCAGAACCUUCUGAUUGCCUCCUACCUCACACAGCAUGGGAGCUGAGGUCCUAAACUAGGAGCCUGUGUCUCCUUCAGUCCUCUCUGCCCCAUUUGGGCCUGGGCAAGUGUGGCAGGCCGCCCCACCUCCACGCCUCAGCUCCGCGUGUCCCUUCUCCCUCUUGUUCCAAUCACCCCGUGGCUUGCUCUGUCCCUCCUUCAGAACUUUGCUCAGCUGUCAUCUCAGUAAGACCUGCCUGGAUCUGCCCGAUUUCAGCUCACAACGCCCUUGUCCACGCCCCUGACCUCGUGACCUGCUUUCCUGCUUUAUGUGGUCCCUCGGUGCUUCCCACUGUGGCCAGGCGCCAGGGUUUUUCUGUCUGUUGCCCAUCUCUCCUCAGUAGAACGCCUAUCUUUUGUUCGAGGCAGUACCCCCAGAGCCUACAUCAGUGCCUGGCAUAUAGUUUGCUCUCAGCAAAUACCUGUCAUGCAGGAAUGAAUGAUCCUUCACCAAGGUCUUGGAUUAAAUGCCACCUCUUCAGAGAGCCCCACCGCCACCAGAGGGAGACACUAUCUCUACCUUCCAAUGCUCUUUGCCGACGAACAUCUCUGAAAAGAUCACCUGGAAUGAAGAGAGGACCUGUGCUUAUGGGUUGUACGGAAGUAUAAGAGAUCCAUGAGAAUUGUCUUCCCGAGAGCAUGUGAAUCUUAACCAAACCAGACCAGGAAGCAGAUGGAGAUUGAAAUGCAGCAACUGGCUUGUUAUCAACACAGCUGGAUGGUUAAGAAGAUGGUACUUAAGCAGAAAUUGGGCUCCUGCAUCCACCCACCGCACCCUGGGAGCUGGCUGUGGGGUGACACCCAGGCAAUUCCAGGGGGGCCACCAGGCUGCCUCACAUCCUUUCAGGAGCAAGAAAGCAAGCAGCUAGUCAGAGGCCUGUGAUUUUCUAGCCUUCAUGUGGAAUAUUCUGGCUUCUUGAAUAUCGGUUGUUGUGUUCAAUUACAUUCACUUAUUCCUUUCUCCCACAAGUAAUUAUUGACGUUAUAUGACUUGUCAAGGGUACUUGCAAACUCUUUGCAAACUAAAUAAUGAACAAGGCUUUGGUGCCUGCCUUCAUGCAGCUUAUAAUCUAGCAUACAGCUGGACAUGUGAUCAAACCACUGCUGUUUUUCUCCAGGAAUCAGGAGUGGAGAUUAUGCAAGAACAAUAUUUGUAAAACAUUUACCAAAAGUGCCUGGCUCAUCCUAAGUGCUCUUAACCAUCGGUGGCUACUACCACUAUUAUGAACCAACUUUGUGAUUUCGCAUAUCACAAUACCACUGGUUUAUUAAUAAUUAUUUCUUUAAAUCAGCUUUGCCAGUCCCCUGACCAAGUGUCUGUGAAAUUACAGGUUGGAAGGGCAGGUUAUGUUUAUGUGAUACACGUGGAAAUAAAAUAUGUAAUCAUUCAAAUAAAACCUGCCACAAUCAUUUCCUCUCCCAGCACACCUGGAGAAACACUGUUGUUGUUGUUAAAGAUUUUAUUUAUUCAUUUGAGACAGAAGGAUACAGAGAGAGCGAGAGAGCAUGAGCAGGGGGAGAGGACGAGGGAGGAGAAGCAGACUCUCCACUGAUUGGGAGCCCAGUGUGGGGCUCGAUCCCAGGACCCUGAGAUCAUGACCUCAGCUGAAGGCAGAGGCUUAACUAUCUGAGCCACCCUGGUGUCCCAAGAAACACUGUUUUAUGCGAGGCUUCAAUCUCAUUCCAUCUGCCUGCAGAACUUAAACUGCAUGAAGGCAGGCAUCAACAUUUAUUUUUUAGUUUUGCGAAUAGUUUGCAAGCACCUCCGACAAGGAGUAAGCCCUCGAUAAUUGUUUGUGGGAAAUGAAUGAAUAAGUGUAAUUGAAUGCAUCAUCCAAUGUUCAGGAAGCCAGAACAUUCUAGGCGAAGUACAGAAAAUAAGCGGCAAAUUAAGAAUCACAGUGAGCUCCCUUCUGCUUCUCGGAGCCUCUGCCUCUGGGAUCACGGGCCUGGCCUGCCUGGCCUGCCCUCCUGCUUUUCCCUCUCCCCUUUCAACAAACCAACCUCCUGGCUCAUUUGACAGCAAGCUGGACGGGCUUUAGGACGGAAUGAAUCUUGCAGUUGUCAUGAAUCAGAAACUGGGCACCGACACCAGAUCUCAGCAACAGCAGAAUGCCCUCACUGUUUAAAAAGCGCUCAUGCUUCAGGCUGGAACAGAUUAGAGGCUAAUAAUUUAUGUUGAAAUCCCGAGAAGCCCUCCACAAAGUCCUAUUGCUUGUCCCUGCCUUUUGACUGAUGGACAUGAAAAUCGGGACUGAUUUGAAAACCUAAGGCUGUUUAGCUAAAGCAGCAUUAAUUUCUCCAUUAGAAGCUAAGCAAUGAGAGGCUGGGGAGGCCCCGGACAACCACAAAGAAACAGAUGCUGGCGGUGGAAGGCCACGCCUUUUUCCAAAUGGGAAACUCACACCUGCUCUCCCGCUCCAGUUAGCUUUCUGGGCCUCCAAGACCUCCAAUUGGCAACUAUAAUUUUUUUCCAUGCUAGUUAAAAUGCCCUUAAGCUACAGUCAUUAGAUUUGCUGGACAGCAGCAUCAUUCUGAUGUUAUCGGCUCUGUCUUCCUGUUUUCAUGAAUAAUGUAUAAGAAGGAGCUGUUAGAAAUGGAUUCUUCCCUGGUUGACGGUAUCGCCACCAGACAGGUCCCUGAAUCCUCAAGUCAUUUUAUCCACAGCACUAACAGAUCCCCCUCCUUUGCUGGCUACCCCCUCCCCCGGCUGCCUGCCACGCUUGGAGAGCCUUCCAAAGUUCCCCAUCUCCCCUCCUAAUCUCGACAGUAAAGAAACAGGUGGCAGGGAGACAAGAAGAGGUGCCCACCACCUUCCUUCCUUCCUUUCCAUUUUUGCUCCAUGUGGGGGGAUUGAAGGCCAAGUUCACGGGUUUGGUUCCUGGCCCUGCCUGACACAGGCCUGCCAGCCUUGCACGGUCUGCAUCCAGGUGCCUGCUGAGGAAGCGCUGUUCGUGGGCACAGGUGAGGGCUGAGGACAACCCCUGCCUGCCUGCUUGAUUCUGUGCUUGCGUCUGUCUUACCUUUACGAAGAAAUGGCACGUCUUUCGGCCCUGGCCCUUUACUCGCUCAUUCAUGCAAUGUAUUUUUGUUAUCUGCGGUGCUUCCAGUGAGGAGGCAUGCAGUAAUCAAGGAUUAUAGAAAUGAAAAGAAAUUGUGUACAAAGAAGAGCAUCCUAUCACGAGCAUGUAAUAGAGGGAAGCAGCUGAGUCAGGGAAGGCAGGGGAAGGAUGCGAGCCUGAGCUAAGCACCGAAAGGGACCUCUAGUCAGUGGAUGUGUUCAGGCAGCAAGGACAGCAUGUGCAAAGUCCCUGCAGCAGGAUCGGGCCCGUUAGAGGAAGCAGAGGGCAACCCAGGGGCCAGAGGGUGUUUGCAAAUAAGAGCCAGGACUUCUCCGCCCCCUUUGACAUCUUGUCCACUGAUCAUCCAAUUUCUCCUUCCCGACAGCCUCCCCCUCCCUCGGGGUCCCAGCAUUGCCGGUCCCCUUCCUGACCACUCCUACCCUCCCAGGCUCAUCCACUAGUAACUCUUAACUGGGGGCAUUAAUUUAGAACUUUCCUACCCCUCUGUGUGCUGAUGUCAAGCACAAGCCUGUCAUCCAGAAGGAGCCCAGUCAGUACAAUGGCCAUUUAUUGUUCCGAGUGCCCACUGAGACCUGGGAGACAUUCCAAAUACCCAACAUGGGCUUGGGUAAGCUGUUGCACCCCCACACUGGAGGCUCACACAGUCAUUAAAUGUGACGUUUGAAGGCAGCCCAGGUGGCUCAGCGGUUUAGCGCCGCCUGCAGUCCAGGAUGUGAUCCUGGAGACCCAGGAUCAAGUCCUGCAUCGGGCUUCCUGCAUGGAGCCUGCUUCUCCCUCUGCCUGUGUCUCUGCCUCUCUCUCUCUGUCUUUCAUGAGUAGAUAAAUAAAAUCUUAAAAGUAAAAUAAAAGUGACAUUUGG